GACGAACGCUGGCGGCGUGCUUAACACAUGCAAGUCGAACGGAAAGGCCCUGCUUUUGUGGGGUGCUCGAGUGGCGAACGGGUGAGUAACACGUGAGUAACCUGCCCUUGACUUUGGGAUAACUUCAGGAAACUGGGGCUAAUACCGGAUAGGAGCUCCUGCUGCAUGGUGGGGGUUGGAAAGUUUCGGCGGUUGGGGAUGGACUCGCGGCUUAUCAGCUUGUUGGUGGGGUAGUGGCUUACCAAGGCUUUGACGGGUAGCCGGCCUGAGAGGGGGACCGGCCAAAUUGGGACUGAGAUGCGGCCCAGACUACUACGGGAGGCAGCAGUGGAGAAUGGUGCACAAUGGGCGGAAGCCUGAUGCAGCAACGCCGCGUGCGGGAUGACGGCCUUCGGGUUGUAAACCGCUUUCGCCUGUGACGAAGCGUGAGUGACGGUAAUGGGUAAAGAAGCACCGGCUAACUACGUG
rnacentral:rRNA from 1 species